rnacentral:rRNA from 1 species
UACGUAGGGUGCAAGCGUUAUCCGGAAUUAUUGGGCGUAAAGAGCUCGUAGGCGGUUUGUCGCGUCUGCCGUGAAAGUCCGGGGCUCAACUCCGGAUCUGCGGUGGGUACGGGCAGACUAGAGUGAUGUAGGGGAGACUGGAAUUCCUGGUGUAGCGGUGAAAUGCGCAGAUAUCAGGAGGAACACCGAUGGCGAAGGCAGGUCUCUGGGCCACUACUGACGCUGAGAAGCGAAAGCGUGGGGAGCGAACAGG